UGUGUGUGUGUGUGUGUAACAGCUACAGAUAGAGAGAGAGAGAGAGACCAACUUUAGGGCAGCAUCUCAUUGUUGGAAAAACAUAUAAUAUAUUUAGACUGGUUGACUGGCAUAGACCCUCUGUGUGUCUCUCUCUCUGUGCAUUUGUGUAUACAUAUUUGAUUUUAUGUGUAAUUGUUGGCUGUUCCUUCUUGUUUUUUAAUUUAUUUUUAUUUCGUUUUUUUCCACAUGUGAACAACAAUUAGUUUUGAGGGAACUUAACCAUAUUCUGUUUUUUUUUUCAUCUUGUCAUUUAACUUUUCCAAUAUUUCUACUUCAGUUAUUGCUAUUCUGCUCAAUCAUAGUAUUUGUUCUAAAUCAUUGUUAUUAUGCUAUAUUGUAGUAUUUCUGCUAAAUCAUUGUAUUUCUACUAUAUUAUAUUUUUCUUUCUAAAUAUAGCAUUUCUGCUAUAUAAUUGUAUUUCUGCCAAAU
ensembl:lncRNA